AUUGAACGCUGGCGGCAGGCUUAACACAUGCAAGUCGAGCGGAGAUGAGGUGCUUGCACCUUAUCUUAGCGGCGGACGGGUGAGUAAUGCUUAGGAAUCUGCCUAUUAGUGGGGGACAACAUUCCGAAAGGAAUGCUAAUACCGCAUACGUCCUACGGGAGAAAGCAGGGGAUCUUCGGACCUUGCGCUAAUAGAUGAGCCUAAGUCGGAUUAGCUAGUUGGUGGGGUAAAGGCCUACCAAGGCGACGAUCUGUAGCGGGUCUGAGAGGAUGAUCCGCCACACUGGACUGAGACACGGCCCAGACUCCUACGGGAGGCAGCAGUGGGGAAUAUUGGACAAUGGGGGGAACCCUGAUCCAGCCAUGCCGCGUGUGUGAAGAAGGCCUUAUGGUUGUAAAGCACUUUAAGCGAGGAGGAGGCUACUGAGACUAAUACUCUUGGAUAGUGGACGUUACUCGCAGAAUAAGCACCGGCUAACUCUGUGCCAGCCGCCGCUGUAAUAC
rnacentral:rRNA from 1 species